GACAGAGGGUGCAAACGUUGCUCGGAAUCACUGGGCGUAAAGGGCGUGUAGGCGGGAAGGAUAGUCAGAUGUGAAAUCCCCAGGCUCAACCUGGGAACUGCAUUUGAAACUCCCUUUCUUGAGUAUCGGAGAGGAAAGCGGAAUUCCUGGUGUAGAGGUGAAAUUCGUAGAUAUCAGGAGGAACACCAGUGGCGAAGGCGGCUCUCUGGUCCACAACUGACGCUGAGGUGCGAAAGCUAGGGAGCAAACGGG
rnacentral:rRNA from 1 species